rnacentral:rRNA from 1 species
AUUGAACGCUGGCGGCAUGCCUUACACAUGCAAGUCGAACGGCAGCACGGGAGCAAUCCUGGUGGCGAGUGGCGAACGGGUGAGUAAUAUAUCGGAACGUGCCCAGUCGUGGGGAUAACGUAGCGAAAGCUACGCUAAUACCGCAUACGAUCUAAGGAUGAAAGCGGGGGAUCGCAAGACCUCGCGCGAUUGGAGCGGCCGAUAUCAGAUUAGCUAGUUGGUGAGGUAAAGGCUCACCAAGCCGACGAUCUGUAGCUGGUCUGAGAGGACGACCAGCCACACUGGGACUGAGACACGGCCCAGACUCCUACGGGAGGCAGCAGUGGGGAAUUUUUGGACAAUGGGCGCAAGCCUGAUCCAGCAAUGCCGCGUGCAGGAUGAAGGCCUUC